UGAAUCACACUUUGGAGCCCUAAGGGACACCCCUACUUAUCAUAACACAGAAAGCCAAUGUGCCCACUCUUCCACUUUAAAAGGAACAACUGAGCUGCACAAGUCACAAAAAUCAAGAUGGUGUCAGAAAUAGUGAAUUUCACAUUCAGAACCAGCAAAACAACUAUCAGAUGGGGAGUCCGGCAUUGAGGUGACUGGGUUUUGGUGCUCUCACAGGAAUCAAAGAUAUUAUGAAUAAGGAUUCACAAGCAGAUAUAAGGACCCCUAUAGAUUUCCAGAAAUACUUGGGUAGAGUCACCACAAGAAAAGACCGAUCUAUCUUUCAAUGGAAGGGAUCAGAGCAUCAAAAUUGGAAGCAUUCAUGUAAAUGUCACUUCAUCUAUUCCCUCAAAGUGACUACAUGUAAAAGAACAUGGUCACCCAACUGUGGAUUCAGAAGGAAUAACCUGAAAAGGAAAUGUGAAAGUCCUGUGCUAGCUACAAAUUAAGAUACAGGAAUUCAAUGUAUGAAAGAGAUAUUAUCAAGAAACGAAAAGGAGAAACCGACAGAAUGGAAGAAAAUACUUGUAAAUCAUACAUCUGACAAGAGAUUAAUAUCCACAGUAUUUAAGUACUCCUAUAACUCAACAACAACAAAUAAACAACCCGAUUUAAAAAUAGGUAAAGAAUUUGAACAGAUGUUUUUCCAGAGAAUAUAUGCAAAUGACCAAUAAGUAUAUAAAAAGAUACUCAACAUCAUUUAUCAUUAGAGAAAAGCAAAUCAAAACCACAAUGAGAUACCACUUCACAUCUACUAAGGUGGCUAUCAUCAUCAUCAUCAUCAUCAU